rnacentral:lncRNA from 1 species
CUUGAGUGUUUGCUUAAUACAAUUUGAGUGUACUGAUCUUGAAAUUUCCAUUGUAUUGAGUUUUGUGUACUCCAAAAAAUGCCUCAAAAAUAUUAUGAUGAACAUAUGAUCCGCUUAAUUGUUUUGAAACCGAAGUAAUAUUUCAGUUUCAAUGAAUACCAAAUAAGAAUAUGCUUUUCUUAACUUUGCCAAUAGAUGGCACUGUGAUCCCACAGUGAAAAAGAAAAACCCAAGCAAGUGUUCCCAGACAUCCUAAAAAUAGAAAUUGCUUGCAAAUGUUUCCUUGUGCGCAGCAGAGAACAAUAGGCAAAAAUUCCAAGGGUAAUUCCAAGAUAAACCAAAUCAACUGGAGAUUUCCUGUUUUCCUCUUGGUUUACAAAGAAAACUCAGUGUCAAGGGAACUGAUGACUGGGAUGUGUUGGACUAAUAUAAAUUUAUCUGAAGCCAAGAAUGCCCCUGGUUUGGCUCUGAAAAGAGUACUAAGCAGCCAAGGACAUUUGGAUGGUCAAAUCCAACCCAGUACGGUUUUCUGCUGAGCCUGUUCCCUUCUUCUCCGAUGUCACUACUGACACCAGUGAGUAAGUUUGAGAACAAAAAUACUAUUAAAUGUUUUAUUACUCUCUGAUAGAUGGUGUAGUUUAGGAUUUUAUUUUAUAUUUCUCAUCCAACAAGGCUUAAGCAAGCUAUUAAGGAGAAGGAGAUUCAAUUUAAAAAAAAAAGUAAUCAGAAGAUAUGUCUUUUUUGUCCACUCCAAUUUCACUAACAUCAGGUCUCAUACGAAGAUAGUGUUUACCAUGUUUUCGGUCACUGAACUUACAGAUACAAAAAAUGUACACAGGGAAAUAUGUAAUGAACAAUAAAUUCAGCUAAACAAUUACUUUUACAGUUUUUGUGAUAUUGUUCUUCAGGUGAAAUAAGUCACAAUGAACCUAAAGGUUUCCAUUUAAAAUCACCUCAUGCUAUUUUUUUUUCCUUCUAAUGGUAACAAAAUUGUUACCACUCAAGGAAAAUUCCUUGAGAAAAAAAAUUAAUAUUUUCUAAACAGUAAAAUAUGAGGUUUAUUCUCGUAACCAGCACAAUUUGUUUGAACUCACAUAUGGUUAUACUUCGCUUGUGUAAGUGUGCUUAACACUUACUCAGCUUUGAAAGUGUGGUUCCAGUUUCAUACCAAUAAAACUGUUCAUUGCCCACUGAUGAUUUUUAAAAUGGACACAAGUCAGUUCAAUUCAUUUUGUUCUUUUCUUACUGCAAUGUGGAUUUCACCAUUUUGUUCCCUUUACACCUGAAAUGAGGGUGUUAAUAUGAUUCUUUGGCAAUUGGUGUAGCUAGCUAAAAACAAUCUGCCUGUUCACAAUUGGAAUUGCUGAAGUUAUAAAACUCAAAUACGCGUGGCAGUCUGAAAGUAGUUAAGUAUAUGAUAUUUUGGAGUACUUAAUAGUAGAGGCAAGAAUAAAGUGGUCUUUCAGGUAAGUCGGUGUUCUUGCAGCUGCCUUCAUUGUGGUGGAAUUAGGCCUUUUAUUUUAGAAAAUAUGAUGAAUUAGAGAACAUGUCUGCGUAGAGUGUUCUUGAGAAAUGCUUGCCUCUUUUUCACCUUGGAGAUGUUUGUUGAAACUGUCAGAUCCUACCAUAACCUCUCAGCAAUGACCGCAGUCUGCCAUUUGUACUGCAUUCAUAUAGCAGUAGAGGCUUGGAUGUCUCCUAGUUGCUGCAUCUUUUAGAUGCCCAUCUUAAACACAUGCGCCAUCAGAUUAUUCUUUUAGCUCUCAGCUAACCUGGGUGCUGCCGUGCUCUGUCCCUGCUCUGGUAGUUCUGUCACUGGUGCUCGUGUGCUGUUUGCACAUCUGAAAGGCGGCUGUGACUUUCAGAUCCUGAAUCCAGUUUUGAAUGCUCUUACUAAUGAUAGUGAGGAGAGGAGAAUUUAUGAAUUGUACUGAGAGAUUUCAUGGCCUUAGAUAUUUGUGGUAUAUCUUAGAAAAAUAAUAUUUGCAACUUCAUUAUCAUGCUUUUUCCAGAACAGGCUGGAGAGAAGUUGUAGUUGAAUGUCACCAAGAAUGAAAAAAUACGUUAAAAUGUUGUUUUCUCUCCUCCCUCCCUAUUUCCUUCAUUCCUCCUUUGAUCUUUUGGGAGUUUUUGUUUUUAGCUUUUGGGAGGAGGAAGGUUACAAAUAAUUUUGUUUGUUUUCAUUAUGAAAUUACAGGACAAAACUUUAAUUAUACAGUUUGUACAGAAAGCAAUUAAGAUACCAAAUGUUUUUCUCUUUCUAGCUGAAUAGUUAUGUCUUGUCUGGAGAAACACCAGUUGCAGUGUGUAUUUGUGUAGGAGGUUAAAUCUUGUGUCAGUGGUUUGUAAUUGACAGUUACAAGAUGUUCCUGCGGCACUUCCAGCACCAUUAAAGAAAAAAAAAAAAAAGAAAAGAUUUUGCUGUAAAUCUCUCAGUAGGUUGGGUGCAUUUUAAACCUCCAUAAAUACAGUCUACCAGGUCCCAACAUAUUUUGCAUUCAAGUGUCUUAAAGUAUCUCAGGAAAACAGUAACAAUUAGUUCCUAGGCUGUUUAUUAUAAAUGGAUUAAAAAUAUUUAACUUACUCUGAUAUAAACUAGCUGCAGUCUGGAAACCUUGAGGUCAAAUCAUAUAGAUUCCAGAGGGCAAAUACUUAAAAAGCAUAAGUCAGGGUAAGAGCUGGGAGUUGUGUAGGCUCCUGCAAGACUGUUAUGGGGCCUUUGCAAUUUUACAGAAGCUCUUCAGUAAAGAGGGACCCUGAUUCCUCUGAAGCAAAAGUGUACUUUGUCAUGCAUGCAUUACAUUAUUCUUGUUAAUACUGUGAAAAGUUUCAGAGCUGUAAAUGGAUGGUAAAAAUAAGUGAAGAAAAAGAUUGCACAUCUGAGUGCUUCUCACGUGAAAAUAAAGCAUACUGCUGCUAGUAGUCAUAUUUAAUACUGCAAGUUCUGACCUGAUUGUAUUAUUCUGGCAUCAAAAUGUAGGAGAGGAUAAAAACUGGGAAUUGUAAUUCUCUCUCUCUCUCUUUUUCUUUUUUUUUUUUUUAAUGGAAGUCUCUCCUCUGUAUGAACAAUUCCUCAUGUUGAAUCUUCUUACAGAGUUCACAAGUGGUAUUUAGGUAGCUGUUGUGGGGCUAGCUCCACAUCGAUAAUUCUGCUGAAUUUACUUAACUUUGUCAUGGCUUCUAGUGGGGCAAAGGCGUCGAGUGUUGUGGCAUCCUAGUGGGGCAAAUGCAAGGGUGAAAAUGGAGAGGCUGAAGAAAAUUCAUGGGAACUAAAUUAAGAGCUGAAUAAAGUGACAUUAGGAAAACCUGAAAGGGCUCUGCCUUUUGUCUUUACUCUUUUUUGUGUUUUGGUAUCUACCUCUAGGCCGUGGAGAGAUGCCUGUGUCAGAUGAACUCCAUCACAUAUUGCUGAUUGAUGUAUUUUUUUCCACCUUUGAAGGUCUAUUUUAUUUUCAUUGUAGCUAAGGAUCCUCAUGGUUGUAGCGCAGUGUAGUCCAGAUAAAAUUUCUUAGAAGUACAUUGUUAUCGUGAGCCUAUGUGUCAUUGUCUAGGAAUAGCUGUAUUUACUCUUGCUGUUCAGGACUGGGAGAGAAAGCUGAAGUCAAGAGGAACAUGUCUGGGCAGAAGUGUGCUUUCCUGUAUAGUGAAUUGAAAUUUCCACUCUGACACCCUAUACUAAGCUAUACGUUUUACUGAAUUGUCUGUAAUACGUAAGGCGAGGUCAAGACUUUCAGCUUCCUAUUCAUCUAGGCUGAAUUUUCCAAAAUUCAUUUGUCAUCUAAAUGAGAACAAGAACAGCUUUUCAAGGAACUAUACAACAAACCAAGUCAUAACAUUGUUCUUAUCACCUCUUGGUGAGAAAUGGAAUCAACUAAAAGCAGUAGUUUAUGCUCUUCGUGGGAAAAUCUUGAUAUUUGUCAUGUCAGUACACUUUUUUUUUUUUAAAUGCAUAGAUAUUCCAAAUUACAGUUGUUUCAUAUAAAAGAGGAGGAUUAUUUAAGAUGGUGUAAAUCACUGGCUUUUGAAUAGAACAUUUUUCUUCUGGUUUGACAGUCAAUCAGGAACAAUAGGGAUGUUUGUCUUUAACUUGCUCUGUAAAACAGCAUUUGUCUCUACAAGUUUGUCAGGCAGUGUCUGUUGAUUCAUGACUUCAGACAAGUAGUGGAAGGAACAAUUACCAUUCUCCACAGAAAAACAAACAUAUACGUAGGUGUGUGGCAAUUUUGCUGGGAAUCAUGCAUCAGGCAAGUUAAUAUAGAAAGCAAAAUAGGAAGUAAAACAUAGAAAUCCCCAAAGCUGAAGCCAGGAAUUCAGAAAAGAUUAAGCUGAGAUUGUUCGCAGGAAAACAUAACACAUCCGGCCUUUGAGUGGUUAACAUCUACAGUAAUAUGAAGAAUAGAUGUCGCUGUGGAGCUUUUAUUUUUCAAUUGUGAUUAUUAUUCCAUUGUUCCUUUAUGGUGUUUGUGAAGGAGCACAGAUGAAAAGAAAAUGAAGAUGAGAUUUCCUCAGGAAGUGGCUUUUUUCUCUCUGUCUUGUUUUGUUUUGUUUUUUGCUUUAAUACUGUAUGUGAUAGAGCUUUGCUGUUUGUGAUUGAAGGAGAAAAAGAUUAGUGAGUCAGAAGCAGUAGAAAGAUUGAGAAUGUUCUGGUUGGAGGCUGUAUAGUCCUCUUAAAAGGAAUAUUAGAGGGAAAAUCCUGACCUCUUUGAGAUCAAUGACAAAGUUAUCACUGACUUCAUUAGGAUAAGGAUAGCACCUUGUAGAUGGGAGUGAAUAAAGAGUUAAGGAAGACAGAGGCAAGAGAGUUGGAGAUCUUAUGUGUCCAGAGGGAAUGAUGCUUAUUUCUAUUAAGAGAUAAUAGGAAGCACUUGAGUGCCACAAGUUUUCUGGUUUUUCAGUAUGAAAACUGUAACCAGAAUAUAUUAUUUUUUCUUAAAAAAAAAAAAAAUCAUCUUCUAUAAGUUAAUAGUGCUUUAAAACAAUACUGAACAACCAAGGAACUGGAAAAAAAGAAAUCAAAGCGAGAAAACCUGAGUUUUGUAGUACACAGUUCAAUUUCAGUUCUUGUAACCCUCAUUUGGAAGGCAAGUAAAGAAUAAAUCUAGACAUGGCAAAUGUAAUUGUGAGACAGUUUCUUCAGACUUCACCUCAAAUUGAUCUUAAAAAAAAAAAAAAAGAAGAAGAAAAGAUUUAUUUACCAAUACUUAGAGUUGAUAAGAGUGAGUCAUUAAUUAUGUUGAGUGUUAGUUUUAAAUGAUAGUUUCUGGGAUCAGUUCUACCAUAGAAUAACCUGGUAACAAGUCAGAAUUUCUAUUUAGAAAAACCUCUGAAUGUUCCCCAUUGGAAAUAUUCCAAAAUAAUUUAAAGUAAACAUAAAUGAUCCAGAAAACUCCUCAAAUUGCUUUCUUAAAGUUAUCAAUUGGAGAUGAUAAUAAAGGUAUGCUGAUUUAGAGGCAUUUUUCUCCUGGCAGCCUGCCACUUACUACCUUUAAUGUUCUCAGUUGCUGACCUUACAAAAGACUCUUUUCUGAAAGGGUACUCAGAAUGGUUACUGAAAUUCAGUUAUGUUCCUUUUGCCUAUUACCAAAUGAGAAUAUAUACUUAAAUCAUGUGUAGACUGAGAGUUUUUUUUCUAAUUAGUCAAAGUUUGUGGUUUGUUUUUGCUUUCCAUUUAUCAGUAUUUUUACAUUACACUAGCUUGUCGUAUUAUUGAAUGCUUCCUCUAAGGCUUUUCCUUAAGAUAAAGUACAUUUUAAUCUUUUCCACAGCUCUGAUUUAUUCUUCAUUCUAUCUGAACCAUUGCAAAAUAGAGGGUUUCACGGGGAAUAAUUAUAUGUCAUCGUGAAUCAGUUCUUAUUAUUUAUUUAUAUUUGUCCACCAUUGGGGAAAAAAAAAAAAAAACCAACAAAAAACCUUUCUUGUCAGAAGGAGUGUGUAUAUGGCUUCUAUAGUGCAUGAUAUGCAACCAAAAUAGAAGUGAAAUACCAUUUUUAUUUACUGCAAUAUUAGCCAGUAUGCACUGGCAUAGUUACCUUCUCAGUUUAAAGAAUGUGCCUUCAUGUUUUAUUGAGAAAACAUGGAAAUCAGUUUGGUAUUCAUGGCAUGCAGUAACAUGGAUUGUUUUUCUUGGAUAGUAAAGUUACUGAAGCUUGUGAACCAGUAGUGAGAAAUUUUAUUUACUGGUGUUUAUUAAUUCCUUUGCUAUUUAUCCCCUCAUAUGUAUCUCAGGAAGAACAAUAACUUAAGUGCACCAAUCUUCUGAGCUACUGAGCCGUAUUACAUUUGCUUGUCUAAACAAAAGGCUAUAAAGCAUAAAAAGCUAUUCAAGAAAUUUCUGCAUUUAAUUGCCAUCCUGAAAUCUUGUAACCACUGAGAACUGUACCAUCUCUUCAAAUAAAAAAAAAAAUCAAGCAAUUUUUUUCUGUGACUGUUGGUCAUAAAGAACAGGAUCCAAAAAGCGUAAACUUUUAUACAUGACUGUCUCUAAGAACAAGCAGUAGAAAACCUUAAGAACUUUCUUCAGAUUGACAUAAAACUUUGUUUUGUUGACAUAAGUAAGAUUGUAGAAAGUCAAACACUCUGGAAGUUUCAGAAAAAUGUGCUGAUCAGUGAACCUAUCAAGCAAGGAUUUACCUAAAUGCUAUUCUCUCAAGAUGAUAGUGGUAAAUGUCUCUCUCAUAGGGUGGCUUCUUUUUUUUUUUUUUUUUUUUUUUUAAAGUUAUAUCACUCCAUAUAUAAUGAUAAUUAACUGUUAGAAAACUUCCUGUUCCCUCUAAAGUUUGGAUAAACAUUCAGACCUUAAGUUAACUGUUCAUAUUACAUUACCUCUUUUAGACAGGAACAUACAGGAAGACCUUGUGCAGCUUCUAGUUUUUUCUAUAAAACACACAUUUCUGUAUCUGCAUAAUAAAUUUGGAGUCACUUUAGAGCCAAUUUUCUCCUGUUUCUGAGAUAUAUGUGAACAUGUGUGAGGUGUAAGAAUUGCUGUGAGGUGUCCUAGGGUGCUCCCGAAGCUCUGGACCCCAUUUCACUUAGUCUUGGCCAUUGUGCAACCACUGAAAUUGUUUUAUGGAACUCUGCAGGGGAAUUGUAGAGACAGGGCUAUCGAAAUGAAUGAGCUAUUCACGUCUAAAUCAGAGCUUGCAUUAUUUGUGAACGUAUCUUUGUGGAUCAGAAAAUCUCUUAUUUUGUUAUUACUUUUUUUUUUUAAAUGAAAAUUUAAAUUCUUCUUAAAGAUUCUGGAGAUGAGAAAGAGUGAGGCAAGAUAAAAUCUGUGACAGAAAUGGAUAUAAGAUGUCAUAAGAUGUGGACUAAGUAAAAAGUGUGAUUUUUUGCAAAAGAUAAUCAACGUAUGACUUGUGAAAGUAUAAAGAGGAAAUAUUGGGAGAAAAUUUUCCUGUUAUUUUGUUGUGGAAUAAAAUGCUGGAUUCCUGCUAGAAAUCCACCCUUCUUCAAAAGUGUCUUCAUAUCUCUUGGGAGCUUUUCAUUUCAGUUACUCUUCUGUCUUUUCUAUGUGUCCUUGUCAUUAAUUUAUAAAAUAUGAGAAAAUCUCAACAUGUACGCUCACAACAAAGAUAAUUUAGUCUUCUUACCUGACAGUCUCCUGCCUGACAAGCUUUUCUGGAGUGGCUCACUCCUGAUUGCUGCUUUGGAUAUUUUUCUAAAAGUAAUUGGAUUCUGAAUAGGUCACAUACAUUCCCACAAUUGUAGAGCAAAUACACAGGUUACAGCUUGUAAAAUAUAUGUCAGCUUAUUUUCUGACAUAUAUAUAUAUAUACAUAUAUUAUUGAUAUACUGUUUUCGCUUGACAAGUUAGUUCCAGAAAAGACUAUUUUUAGAUAGCCAUGUUUUGUGAUACGGUAUGGGUUUGUGCUGCUGCCUUUUCCAGUUAGUGUGAAGGUAAUGACGUAGUCUUUAAUGUCUCAUUGGUUUUCUGUUUUCAUGGGAUCUGUAGGUACUGCGCUUAAGGCAAAUUUGAUUGAACUGGCUAAUAAUUUCAGAAGUAGUUCACAGGUGUGCCUACAUGUGUCUUGCUUCCACAACAGAGGGCCUGAAAAUUAAUACUCUAAAUACAGACUUGGAGAAAGCUACAGAAGACUAGAAAAUAUAGAAAUAUAUCAGUUCACCUCAAUAAAAACUUCUGGAGUAAAAUAGCUUUAUUGUACAGUACAAGAUUAUACUAGUAAGUCUGAAACCUACAAAGCACCAAAAAAAAUUCAUUGACAUAAAUAUUCUCAGUCAGUUUAAUAGAGCAGUGUUGGUUGUAAAUUUGAAAUUCAUGAAGCUUUAAUUUUAUGGUUAUCUGCAUGUAUUGGAAGUAAUUUAGAUGAACAAAAAUUCAUUUUCAUUAAUUAAUUGUCAAAUUUUUCUGCUUUCAGUUGCAUUUCCAUCCUUUCUGUUCUAAGGGAGAGAAAUAUGUCUUCUCCUUUAAACUGAAGACUAGAAUAAAGAAUAGCAACGGUUCAUUAACUCCUGUUUACAUUUCAGAAACCAUUUUUGAAGUGAAAGAAUACUACUGAGAUACAGAUUUAAAAAAGCAGCACAGUUUUCUUCCAGUGGAGCAGCUAUUUGCAAAUUUAUCCUCUAACCCCUGCUACAUUUAAAUGUGAAUCUCUACUAUGUGAACAUAUUGAAUCCCGGUGUGAGCUCAGUCCUUCCUCUCUUCUGGGUCAUACAAGUUUCCCUUUGUUGUUUGAACUUGCACAGUGGUUGUCAUCAAGCUAUUACUCCUGAUAAUUUCAGAGGCCAGUCAUUAUUCAGACCAAAGAAUUUUGUAUUUAUAACUUGCCCAGUAAUACAGCUAAGUGGUAGCAUCACUGUUCAUAACAUACUAGCAAAUUCUAUACAACUGCUCUCUGUUAUAACAGUAGCUGGUAACCACUUUGCAGUAGCAUGUUCUCCACUUCAUGUGGAACUUCUGAUUUCCUUUUAAAAGCCUAUAAUACAGCCUUCAGGUACUUCUGAGUGAUUGUUCAAUAUGGGGUGGAUUUUAGAAUUAUUAACAAAAGGCAAAGUCACUGACAUAAUAUGCAUAUUCAGUUAUUUUGUGGCAGCAGAUGAAAUGGCCUCUCUGACUGUGUGUUCUUCUCUGAACAUCACAGAAGUAAUUUGUUGAACUACUGUGGGGCAAACUGUGGAUUUUUUUUGUGAUAUCCAAGAAGAAAUCCCCAAGACUAUCCUUUGCCACCUCACUUCAGGACCUUGUUUAGAAUUUAACAUCUGUGGUUUUGCUAGAACUUCCUCUGUAACUUUUGGGGGUUACACACUGGUGCUACACUUGCUGUUACUCAGGUGUAAUGUUUCAGCUGAUCAUCUUGUGAGUACUUAUCUGCUUGCCUGAUAGAAAGAUGAGAUAUACAUACCUUUUGUAUCUACCAUAAUCUAACAUUUCUGAUUUGGCAGAAGUGGAAAUAUCUUACAAGUUGGUGUGGUAUUUGUGCAGUGUACCUGUAUCUUCAAUUAGACCUUCCAUAUAAUUAACGGUGUUAUAUUAGCAUAGACUACAUCUAGGAGGAAUCAUUGUCCUUAUGCACUAAAGCAUUACAUAGGUACAGUAUGACUAGGAAAAGAAAUUCACUUCAUUGUUUAGUUCCAAUACAGAUUUGUGGCACUUUACUAUACCUACUGUCUUUCAAAGGAGAACUUUAGAAUAAAAAAGCAUUGCAAUAAAGGAGAGAAAGCACGGCAAUGUAUCAUACAGAGUGUAAGUAAACCCUCUCAGUUUGUUUCAGAAUUACCCUGCCUGUCUCUAUCUCCUCCUGUGGAUAUCUAAAGCUGAUAAAUGUGAGAACACGUGAACAAUAUUCUCUGUGUUCCUAUCUGAAGUAGGCUGUUCCAUACCUGACAGUUUUUUUUUCAUUUUCUAAGAAUAUUUUGGAAAAAAAAAAAAAAUAGGUUUUAUUUGGCUUCCUGAUCAGCAAAUAAUUAAAACAGGAAAUAUACGGGAUUUAAGGUUUUAUAACAUGAUAAUAAAACUUUUACUGCUUUAGUGCAUUUGCUGUAAGCUUUUUGCAGAUUUGGUUAGUGUACUAAGCCUUUAAUUUUCAAAAUAUUUUUGUUAUUAAAAUUCAUUAGGCAGAUAUUAAACUCUUGCUUUUGGACAGUAUAUUCUUGACAUGCUGCUUAGGGGAAAACUUGCAGUAGAAUUUCCUUGCUAAGUUUGGAAAGAAGUUCGUUAUUAAUACUAAUCAAGAAAUUUUAUGAAUAUUAUCAUUAAGGAGUUUUCUGUUGGUACACAAUCUUUCUUUUCUCUCUGAGAGAGAGGUUUCUCUCUGAGGUUUUGAGGGUUUUUUUCUGUUUAAAAAUGUCAGUAGAUAGAUUUCUUUUCCAUCAGAAGUGCAUCUCAGUUCUUCAAAACAAGUAAUUUCACAGAGUUCUAUUUAAAAAUAAACACCAAGAUAUCUUAAGAGGGCUGAAAACUUUUGUUCCUUUUCAAAUUGUUUACAGUUGCAUAUCACAGCUGUUAAAAAACCUCAUUGUUGAAUGGAAAUAUCUUGUCAGCUCAGGGAGUCUAGCAGCUAAAGAUAGUCAAUGAGCUUUUUAGUCUAGAGUUUUGCUUUAGAUUCUUAAACACUGCCAAGUCUCAGCCAAGGACACCCAUUGCUCUCUCCUAUCAGUCACUUGGAAGUAGUCAGAAUACUGAGUGGAACAGGCUGUAACAAGGCAAGGUGCUGAUAUGGGCUGCCCAUUCGUUUUAAGGUCAGGUUCAGUGACAACACAGUGAGUCAGUCACCAGUAAAAUAUUGUCUAGUUCUGAAGAGGGCUCAUGUGUUUGUUUUUGUUUGUGACUGCAAAUCACAGUUCGAACCUUUUUGCAUUGAGAAAGGCAAAGCUUUUGUCUGUUGAAGUUAAUUCCAAAGGGAAGCAGAAGCUGUAGGUUGUGUCAGACAAUAACUGAAUUAUCAGACACAGCACAUAACAUCAAGUGUAGCAGACAUAAGCAGUCCUUGCUUCAGAGUCUCUCAUCACUGUAAAACCAGUUUCAAAAUUCCCAUUCCUUUUGAAAGGGUAGCAGGUUUUGCUGUCACCUAUGACAGGUCCCCUAUUCCUGAGGCAGAAAGCUUCAAAGUGAGACCAAAGCUGUGAGAAGUAGGUAAGUUCUGGAUAGCAACUGGAUCUCAUUCACACAGGAAAGAAAAAUGGAAAAAUGUUGAAAAUAGACAGACUAAAAGAAUAAUCUGCUACUUAGCCUAAGACUGAAGUCCUUGAAGGGAAUAAAGGAAAUACCAUAUUUCUAGCUAUCUAACUUUAUCCUUCUCCAGUGGCAGUUUACUCUAAGACUGCACAUAUAUUCUGUGAGUAAACGUUCCUCUGCAAGCAUUAUGUGUUCAAGAUAUUUAGGAGAGAUGCUUCAGUAUCUGUGGAAAUGAUUAUGUUUUUUGACCUCAGCUGUUCCAGGCACUGCACGUUCUGCACUGCCGGAGAAUCAACACCUUGCACUAUCAGACUCCUUAGUGAUAUGCCUUUGUAUCUGGGCAAAACUUCUUACUAAACACGACCAGGCUGUGGUACACCGCACAUCGCAGUUGUCAGCCAGUCAGCGCACGCUGACCACAGGGACUAAACAGUGGCUGGUUGAACAUUUCUGCUUUAAAACCAUGUGGUUCCCAAUGCCUUAGCAAAAGGAUAAUUUCAGUAUUGUUUAUUAUGAGAGCUCCCUGCUAUCUUGUAUUUGGAGUACAUCUUAUUUUUUCAUGUGAGCUGAUCUAGAGUAUGCCAUAUAGACUAAAAAAUUCCUUAUUUGUAGACUAGUUCUUGUCUUUUCAGACAAGAGAGAACGUUACAAGAUGCCAAUAUUCCAGUAUUGCAUCUACCACUUGUAAUUAAGGCAGUGUAAUUGUUCUUGAACAAGUUAAGGACGUACCAUUACCAUAUUCUCCUUCUUGAAUUAACAAUUCAAAAAUUUUAUCAGUAUUUUUCGUAAUGAAAAUGUCAUUUUUAUGUUGUCCCACCAACUAAGAAUGUUUAGUUAUUUCUAAAGAUCUCCCUCUUUUACAGUAAAAUAUUAUUUUAAACUUAAGAUUUGUAAAACAUCAAAUGGCUGUAGCUGCUAUUUAACUGCCAUUGGCAUGCUGCCUAUGUACUGAAUAUUAUUGCUUUAUUAGUAGAUCAUCUAAUACAAGUAAUGUGGAUCAAAUAGUUUUCUGAACUUUUAUUUAUUUGCUUUAGUAACAGCUAAUACUAAAUUUCACUGGAGGAAUUAAAAAAAAAAGUCAAGUCAUGGUGAUUAAUUAAGUUUACUGUGCUAAUAACACUGAAGUCUUUAAAAUGUUAUGUAUAUUUGAAAGUUUUAUGCAGAGUUCCACAGAACAUUUGCUUAGAGCCAUUCAUGCUCUUCUGCAGAGUGCACGCACUAACUACUUGAGACAAACUUUUGCUUGUUUUGAAGCUGCCUGUGUUCUCAAAUAAAUAUUUAUACUGGCAGUUACCCCAUUUGUUUACCAGUCAUUCACAGAUUGGACUGCAUUUGGAAAAAUAAUUGCCUUGUGUAAAGAUGUUGUUUAUUCUUUGACUACAUGUUUCUGCAUUGCCCCUGUGGAUGGCAUUUCUAAAAACAAUUCCAGAUGGAAGAUAUUCCUGUAUUCUCCAGUUGCUUUAAAAAUAGAUGCCUCUGUGUGAUUCACAGGGAGCUCUGUGUGCACCUCUGAGUUGACCUGAGCUAUAAACACGUUAUAAAUAAAGUAUGCUGAAACAGUAGAUAUGCUUUUUUUUUUUUUUUUUGCCAAUUGUCCUACUGGUUUGCUUUUCUCUCCUGUGAGACAUUAGAAGUAAAUAAGUCCUAUCUAGAAUUAGGUAAUUUUUAGAAGAGUAUCUUAUGGGGCUUUCUGUGUAUUUUUUAUUUGUUUACAGAAAAACUGUAAUCAGAAUAAAUUCAUGAAUCAGUCCCCAGUUGUUAAGCUACAAAUCUUCGCUUAAUGGACCAGAAGACUUGAUUCUGUGCUUCGAGAUGAAAUAGCCUUUUAUACACAGAAGCAUGUCUUGUUCAAAUCUGCAAAUGCUGUAAUAUGGAAAUAAAAGCUUUCUCGCGGUGAUGGACAAUAGAAAAGCACUCCAACCCGAACGCUAUAAUAGAUCAGGGGUCCUCCUAUUAGUGUUCCCAGCACUCUGAAUUUCUAGAUGCAAAAUACCUUAUUCUUAAUUGAUUGUGCCCCAAGAGUUCAAAUGACAAGAGUGCCCCCUUUGGCUUAUCUCUUGGUUGAUGUGAAAAGAAUCAUUUUGACACAUUUCCCAUCGAGCUCCUAAUCAUGCUGUAAAAUCUUUGGCUUUAUCAAGACAAGUGAUCAUCCAUUAUAACAUCAUCACUUGCUGAUGAUUUCCUUGAGUUUCCUGUUAAAAAUGAGGUGUUCAGAGAGUCAGCUUUGGCAUCCAGGCUCAAAGAUGAUUAUUGUAAGGAAUUUUUUAAGCUGGAUAUCCUGUUCUUAUCAAGGCUAUAUCAUCAGACUUGUCUUUUUGGUUCUUCAAACGCUAGAUAACCUAAACAGUUACUCAUCAGAAAUGUCUGUUACUUUCUGAAAUGUUUAGUGCUUCUUAAAUAUUGCAGAAUUGUUUAAGAGCUAAGUAUCUCAGAACUUUUAAUGGACAGCAUCAUAAAAUGUGGCCUCAUUCUCAGUGGGAGAUAACCAAACCAGUCUAUUGCCCAGCUGGUUAAAACAAAUCUGUAAGCUGCUGUCAGUGUUCAACUUCUCUGCUAGAAUAAAGAAAAUCUGAAAGGGCAUCUAUUAUAAAAUGAACCAAACUCCUCCUCGCUUUAGCAGCCAUGUUGUUAAUGGAGUUGCAGAUGGGUGAAUUCUUCUAAAGCUGACUGAAGCUGAGAAAUGCUAAGUUAAAACUUGCGUAGGCUUCAGUUAACCUUAAACUGUGGCAUUUGUGUAACAAUGGCGUAAAAUAAUCUUUCGGCAAAACUGAAUGAAAGAGAAGCAGAAUAAUGGGAUGUGAGGAGAGAAUGAGAACUCUUGGAUUGGGUUCUCUUUUCUGAGGCUACAGGUUUAGCAGACUUGAUGAGGACUCAUUCCUCUAAUAAAGCUUUUCAGCAUUUUUGCUAUAUGGCCAUCAUAAAGGAAAAGUUGCUACCUACAGAAACUGCUGGGAGAAGGAAAGGUCGGAACGAGUACAUUUUUGAGGUAAAGGAAACGUAGGCUUCCUAAGAAAUAACACCAAGAAGCAAGUUGCUUUAUAAGACAGGACAGGAAAGGAAGAGUUUAGUUAUUAGUUUUCAUAUGAGAUAUGCUUUCUUGGUUAUCAUUUGCAGACAAUGAUAAUGUUCAGUUAUGAAGCAUUUAAUUACUUUGGGGGCUGAUUUAUGCUACAUCAUCAGACAACAGUUUUUGACAUAGUUUCUAGGGUUUGCAAAGUCUUAUAAUCUUCUCUGAAUGUUUUCAAAACAUAAAAUAUCUGGUAAAAUGACCAAAUAAUUUACAGAGGAUAUGGAUUGGUGUGGUUUUUUAUUUUAUUCCAGAAAGAAUUUCUGUAGUCCUAACUACUGUAAAAGCUUAAUGAAAGCUUGCUGUUUGUGUCCUGAACUUUUUCCACUUUUAUAAAUAUUCUGAUUUGCAAAUGCAAAAUUCCAGCAUUAUCAAGAUGGUAUAAAUUUGCCUACUGAAGUUUGAUUUUGUCUGAACAGCUUCUUUAUUUUAAACAUGAAGUGCUUGUAAGAAAACUAGGCACUUUACACAGUCUCAGACAUCACAAAGAUAUAAGAGGUGGUGUUAGCUUUGUAAACAUUCACUGCUUUAUGUACACCUUGUUUUGCCCCAUGCCCUGCCAUAAAAGAAAGAUACAUGCAGUGUUACUUCCAAAGGAAGAAAUAUUUUUCCCUUAUCUUUCCAAGCCUGUAAAAGUAACCCAGGGAUAUUUUACAGAAGAUUAUAGCAUGUCCCACUGCAGACUUCAAAUGUAGUUAACAGAUGGUGCGCUAUCUGUUACAGUGGAAUUGCUGUACCAUUUGGGCGUCAUUCAAAUGGAUCACUUUCAUGGACUGAGUAGGUACUAAAGGGCAGCUCCAUGUUUGUACUCAGAUCACUAGAAUAACUUCCUAUGACUGUUAAGAAACACAUCAACACAAAAUUACGCCUACUGUAUUUUUCCUAUGGCAAAUGUUAGAGUUUAAGAGGCUAAAAUGAAAAUGUCAUUAGUAAGCAUCCUUUACACCCUUGUUAUUUCCUGACCAAAGCUGUCAAAGAUGUAAAUUUCUCUUUUUGUACCCAAAACAGAGAUUUUGGAGGGUGAAAAAUCUUUUCAGUUCAUUACCACUAUCUGCUGAUGAUGGAGAAAAGGGAGAGGAGAAGCUAGAUCAGAUUUGAUUUUAAAAAUAAUAUUGUCAGAUAUUCAAUUCAGUGCAGAAGGAGCAGACAUGAGAGACUCUUUUUGAGUAAAUUGCUGCUUAGUAUCCAGGAAGUUUCAUGUGUUGGUCGAUGGGAUUCACACUACGUUCUGAGAAAUAACCUGCCAGGAAUGAUAGAAUGAGUUCUGGAAUCACACAACAAAAAUGAGGUAAGAAAAUCAAAAACAGUGGAAUGAAGUGGAUCUUCAUAGUUACAGACUUCUCAGACUCUUCUAAGAAGGAAUGAAGGGUUAAUUAGAGCUCGCAAUCACUGUGAUACAUAGCAACAGUCAGGACAGUUUUUGCUUUCUCUUCAGUGCAGCUAUCAAUUCAUCUAUCAUUUGUAUGCUCAGUUGUUUAUCAACAUUGUGAAAUUCCCCUCAGAUCCUCUUCCCGCUCCUGAGCCGGCAUUCCUGAUAUGCUCUUUAUAGCCCAAAUGCCUAGACUGAGUCUCAGGGAAUCUGAAACCAGCUGUAAACCUUACAUUCAUUGCAGUGGGAUUUGGAACAGGCCCAGCAGCAAGAACAUCGCAAAUUAGGAAUGAUGUGGAAAAGUGGGUGUCAUGGCAGAAAUAUGUGCGUGGGUGCUUGUAUAAAGCCUGCAAACAAUAUGCUUGUGCUGUGCUUUUCCAACUAUUAUUUCUUUUUAGCUGCCAGUUUUAAAAUAAUGCAAUUAGAAACUUUAUUAUGGAUUUGACUCAUAUUUUCAUAUGCAAGUAAACAAGGAGAAUUUGCAUGAAGAUAUUUUUCUCUUAUUCUGCAAAAGCAGAAAGAAUUUGAAGGCAGUGAAUGAUUUUGAUUGAAGUAUAUUUGAGAGAGCCACAGGAAUAUAAUCUUCCCUUUGAGAGAAAAACUGAAGCGCAGAGCUGAGCUGUAUCUUUUGAAAGAGUUUCAUACUAAGCUGCUUGGUCCGUGCCAUAUGUAAUUAGUGCAUGCUGGAUGGAUGACCACUUACACAAUAAAUCAAGUUUUGACCAAACAAAUCUCUCUUCAUGUUACCAAUUUACUUUACUGGCUGCUUUCUUUUGGCUUCAUCCUACUCCUCUCACCCCACUCCUUUAUACCUCCUGUUUUCUUUUUUCUGCAACGACUAACAAAUGUCUCCGUGUGUGCUGAGAGCACCAGGCAUUCAUUAUGGGGAGUCUCACUGUGGAGACAAUGAAACUAUGCAGAGCAGGAUGGUGUUGUCACUAUCUUCUUCAGAGUAUGCCUUCAAUAUGGGAAAAGUUCUCUAAAACAGCUUCUAUCCUGGCUUCCCUCAGGUUGUUGUGACCUUUUGUUUUUGUGCAACUGGAGCUUCAUUAGUUUGUUGCCGCAUGCACAAUUUCCAAAGGCUGCUUUGAAGACAUGUUAAUUAUAGUAAUAAUUUCCAACUCAUUUACUAGUCAUUGCCUAUUUUCUUGCAGGGCAAAAGUGGAAAUAAGAUCUUGCCCAAACCACUCCUUGCUGAACAGUCAGCCUUAAGUCAAAUCUGAAUCUGGAUUUUUUUUCUCCAGUAAAUUUUGCCAGAAGCCGUCAUUUUUCCAAGGCCUGUGCAAGUAACUGCUUAAUGCAAACAUUAAUACUCUAGAUCAUUUCACACAUUAGUAAUAGGGGAAGCAUUUAGCCAUCAGAGGAAGAAAAAAAUCUAUUAGAUAGAACACUUCAUUUACUAGAAGCUAAAUAAGCUGUUAUUCUGUGCAAGUUCACAGUUACAGUGCCUUUCCUUUAAGCUUGUGAACAAGCCUUUGGGCUGCACUGCUUAUUUGAUCAUCAUAACCAUCAGUAGCUUCACUGUAGAAACUCCAACAAGAACUCCCUGUUUGGGGGCUUGAUGCUGUGAGGAACUGAGUACCACCUGGAAAGUAUUUUAUGUCCACAGUUUCUGGCAAAGACAGUUCCAACUGGCCUAGGCCUUUGGCCAGGAUUUAUCAAGAGAAAUAUAGGUAUCUUUUCAAAAAGAGCCAAAGAUAGUCAUCUGUGAACAUAAUUAGUAAAUGCAUGGUACUGUCCAUUUGCACAUGCAAAUCUCCUAAUGUAAAUAGACUUGCGUGUGUAUUCACAUAUUUUAUGGACUCAGUUUUGGCACCUAUGUGAAUUUAGUCCUCACUAUUACUAGUUUCUGUGAUGGAUUUGCACAUUUUGACAAGAUGUAACCACAGUUUCUGAACUCCGGUUGAGUUCUGAUGUUGUGUUUCACAAGAUGAGCUUGUUGAAACUUGUUUGAGCCCUAUUCACUUGUGCAAUGCACAAAGAAGAAAUCUCGUUCUCCCAGCUCAUCUACUGGAAUGAAAAGUAAGCAUAUGUCAUCAGCCAUUUGCUCCUGCUCUUAUACAUACCUGCAAAUGAAAACUCUUUGCUGUGUAUUUCCUGAGACCACCGUGUUUGCACAUGGUUUAAGUGUCAAGCUGCAGAAGAACUGACAUUGUGUGAUAAUUGUAGGCAUUUUACUUUAAGGAAAUAACACAGUGGUGAAGCAACUGUUGAGUCAUUUUUGCUCAUAUUUUAUGCUUUCUUGGUUUCCCACACUCUCUGGAAUGGAAACAGACUCACUGACAAUAUGGUAGCAUGUCAGUCAUUCAGUGGUAGUUAAAACUUGAUUGUCAAAGGUGGCCACAGAGGGGAGCAAUUGCAGAGAUGGUCAUCCUGGUGCCGGGGAGCUGGGGAGUGUCCUCCUUCAGCUACAAUGACACCACAGUGCUUUUGUGUCAAAUGCUUGGGUAAUUCAAGUUUGAGAAAUGCAUUUAUGUUGAAUAAGCCUAAGUACUCCAAGCGUUCACUCAGGGAAAGGAGCUAUUGCUUUGGAGUUCCUCAAGCAGGAGCACUCUCACAGGCCAUUAGGCUGACGCUGUGCAGGACAUUCACUUAAUAAAAUACAUUUAUUCAGGCAAUCUCUCAAAUGAGGGAAAUGCUCAGUGAGACAAAUCAUCUAUUACACAUUUCAGUGUUGGCUCAUUUGUCACAGACCUAGUAACUGAGCAAAUGGUACUGCUUUCUUUAAAGAUUGAGGUUAUUUUAGAGAUUUUUUAAAGAAUUUCUUUGCACUAUGCUUCUUCCUUUCUUCCUAAUUAAAAUAAGUCACUUUAAAUACAUAAAUCUCCAACACUUUCUAGUUCAACCAUGCCAGAAAUGUUUGAAAUGUUGUAAUCUUUGUAGAUAUUUUGAGGUUUCUACUUUCUGAUCAUAACCAAGAUCUGCAGAGGCCUUUAAUGACGAUUACUGAAAACCAACAUUGAUUUCAUCUAGAAUUGUAGAGGAGGAUUGUAAUUAUUUGUUAGUUUUAUUUGUGUGGUCUGUAGGAAUUUCUGCUUGUGGGCAGAGGACAAACAUAAAUGAAAUACAAGUUUUAAAAGGAUAUUUUCUUGUUCUGAGCUAGACUUCAUAAAGUUUAGAAAUUUCUAUAAGAAUUUUGUUUGUGUUAUGGAAAAUGUCAUUUCUAUCACAAUUUUGUGUUUAAUUUCUUGCUGUGAGGCUAUCAGCUCAUUUCUGGAGCUUGAAUACUGUGAGGGAAUUCCAUUCUUCCUUUUCUUUAUCUGGAAAAGUACUAUGGAUUUUGGUGUUGUUGGGGGCUGUAUUUUGUCUCCAUGGCUGUAGGGCUGCACAGAGGAACAUACGGGAUCACACUAGCUGGUUUCUGCCAGAUGAGUUCUGAAAACCUGUUAUUUCAAAUUUUAGUCAUAUGUAUGGUGGAAGGGGGAUACUGCCCUUAAUCUAGCAUAACUCUGUGAUAAUGUAUUUGUGGAUCUGAUUUGUGGUGUGUAAAUGAGUACGUUCCUUCAUAAUCAGAAGAUAGUGUUCAGUGCUUUCCUUAAUUGCAAUUCAUGCAUGUUAAGACACAUCAGAAGCACACAUUCCUUUGGCUUCCCAGGACCACAUGCUGUCAAUUACUUUAUAGAGUAGUCCUUUGAGAAGCACGCAGUGUUUAUUGCCUGAUUUCUCUAAAGAAGGACAUACAGGCAUGGACGGAAUAUUAAAUGCAUCCUGUUUUGUAUGUGUAAAAAAGCCCACCUUUGUUAUUUUCUUGCCACGUAGAGUAUUUCAUUGAAAUACUGUCUUGAAAAACAGUGAUCAGUGUAGAAGAUGGAAGUGCCUGUAAUCACAUAAAUAAGUUCCCACCUGUAGUAAAAAUUUUCACACAGCUGUGCCAAGCUGUGCAAUUUGACAAGAGGCUGAUUUCAGUUUGCUGCAUAGCUAAAAAAAAAAAAAAGAAACCAGGUGAAACAACUAAAUGCUGACAUUUGAGUAGGAGCAAUAAAUCAAAGGGGUGGGUGGGGGAAAAGGAAUGUUUCUGUCUUCAGAAGGAAGCCCGCUUUUUUUCCAUGUGAAAAUAAAAUGUGUUUGCAUAAGGUGGCUUAUUUGCUCCCCAUGUCAUUUCAUAUAGGAUAUGAUGUAAACAACAAAAAAAAAAAUUUAAUAAUGGCCUGGUAGAUAAGCUCAGUAGUUUGCCAGUGUCAUGAAUAUCUAAUUCAUUAGAGGAAGGCAUUCAAAAUGUUAAAUAAAAUAAUCAUCUUGUGUGUGUGCACGCUAGUAAUUUCUGCACUUGUUUUCCUGUCAAAGCUAUCCAUCAGUAUCUGUGUUUGUCAGUAGGAGCGUUCAUUGAGAGCUGAUUUGAUCAGUAGUCUCAGAGUAAUCAUUAACUGGGAGAAAUAAUUAGAUCAAAGUUAAUUCAUCUGUAAUAGUUUCUGGCAUGAAAGGAAAAGUUCAGUGCAGUGAGAUCUUGUCUGCAGAAAAGUUGCAAAGAUUGUCUUGAGGAAUUAGAGACAGGAAACUGUAAACAUGGUGAAAAGGCUGGCAUAGCACAGUCCUUCCCUACUGCAACUCCCUAAUAAGAGAGUUUUUGUUGUAUAUCAAACGAGUUGUUGGUUUGGGAAGAUUUUGUCAAUCAGGUUUCUGUUUGUGUCCCACCCUACUGUUAAACUUCGAACUCUUUGCCCAAUUCCGUAUUAUUGGACAAAAGAUUACUCCUAUAAACCUGAAAUGAUUCUGGAAUUUCUCCUUGGGAAUGUAAUUCCGUGAUGGUGAGAGGGGAAGGGGGAGAUAAAGACUUUUUUUUUUUUUUUUCUGGGCAGGUGAACUCAUGGUUGGACAUAUGCAGUGUAUACAGAUUAUACCUCUUGCUGUUUUCUUCUCACAAUUCGUAACUUUCAUGUGCUAAGCGGUACAGUUAGCGACAAAUACUUUUAAUUAUCUGAUUUGUUCAGUGCCAUCUUUAAAUUUUAUCCUGAAUUUCCCGAGACAAACUGAUGUGUCUAGGAAUGAGUCAUAGCUACUUUUCCAAAAGCAGAUAGUAGAAACAAAACAAUGGUUUAGCAAUGAUAAUAACUGCUUUCUGAUGAGUAAGGUAUUUAAACUCAGGCAUAAUCUUCCUUAAAAUAGCUGAUGGUCUAACUGAAAUUUUCUUCGUGUUUCAAGUGAUGGGUUAUGGAAGUAUGGCUGCUAUGUGUUGAGCUUACCAACCUUUUGUAUGAUUUUGGAGCUAUCACCCAUACAUGAGUUAUCCAAGUGACAUAUACGUCACAUUCAAUGACAUUGAACAAUGUUCAUUUUAAUACCGUGUUUCUAUGGUUUUAUACACAAAUUAGGAAUUCUCUUAAAUUAUGCUUUGCAAAAAUGCCUGUGAAAUUGAUUUGUAUAUAUUAAUUUGUUGGAUUUGCAGAAACAUCUAUGUGCUAGCUGACCCAGUGCAGUUCAGCUGCUGGCUCACCCAGGGCAUCUAAGCUUGUUCUUUCUUUCAUGGAAAGCUUGUUGCCAUUGAAUGUAUGUGAUACAAAAUAACAGAAGUAGAAAUGUACCUCUUAUCUUGCUUGGAUAGAUCUGUUCCUUUCAGUCAUGGCAUUUCAAGGAUUGGAAUGGAUCAUGGUAAUAUUAAGUCAUGUUUAUUUUUGUACAGAGAUGAAUGCAUGCAAGACUUCAGUGUGUAGAUGGAUUAUGUAUAUGUAUAUGUGUAUCUAUAUGUGUAUAUAUAGACACAGAUAUAUAUAUAUAAACCUGAGGAAGAGUCAAGUGACAUAGGUUUGGAAAUUACUUGAAAGUAUAGCUGAAUGCCACUAGCUAGAAUUGCAGUCUGGUGUUACAUCCAUCUGGUGCCUUGAGGGACUCCUGAAAUUAAAAUUUAAGCUAUUUCCCUCUAUGUUUUGGUGAUGGCUCCAUCAAGUAGAAUAUGCUCUGCAGUUCAUAGAUUGGCAAUAUAUAAUGUGAUAAUUUAAAGUGAAUUUUAGUGAGUUUUGUGGAUGCAUGGUAAUACUUACAGACAAGAGAGAAUUGGAGAGGAAAAAAGCCUGUUUUACAGGAGGUCACUAAUCUGUCUCCCAGAUGUAAAAUAUGAAUAUUAACAAUAUUUGCAUUACAAUGAUGCUCUUCUCUGGUAAGUAAUAGAUAAGAUGCUAUGGAGUAGCAACUGUUCUGAAAGUAGUUUCCAUGGCACUUUUUUGACAGUAAUGAGUUUGGAUCCUCUGAGUUGGACUUUUCCUCCAGAUUUUCACCUAAAAGAAGUUAAGGGAAAUCUGCUUAUGUAGCGCACUGAACUUGAGCAGGUCCAGAUCCGGGACCCAGAACUAGAUCUGAUGGUAAUGCAGAAUUUGUUAAUGUACACAGAAAGCCAUAACAAAAAUGGCAGUUGGUAUCUUUCUGUUCAACAACAUAUCUUCCUCUGAGCGUUUUAAAAAAAUCUAAUUGUACUGCACCUUCUUUGAAUUCUGUUAAAGAACACUGUAACUUGGUAAUGCCUAAGUUAAUUUAAUGUACAGGUAACAUGGGUAGAAAUAAGAGGCAUAAAGGAUGUAUAAUGCUUUGCAAUACCUUAUGUUCACUUGGUUGUAAAGUUGCUACAUUUUAGUAAUUUUAGUUAAUGUUUUCCAUAUGGGAUAUCUGCCUCAGCCUAAAUAGUUCUGAAAAAUGUUCAGCAGGAAGGGUGCAGCCGUUGCUAAGAAAGCAUCAGGAGGGGUUUGUUUACUUAGGUUUAAAGAAAUUUAGCUUAUACAUUGAGGUUUCUAGUAACUGAACAAUUUUCAUGAAGUGGAGGAGGGGAACGGAAUUUGGUAGUCAUUACUAUCUUCUUUCAUUCUGGUGGGAAAGCUAUCAAGAUUUGGCCAAAUUACAGAACUCUAAAAAUCUCAUAUAUGUACUCAGUCUGUUGAGAUUUGAUAGAAUUUGGCAGAAGCACCAUCGGAAGGAUCCAUUCAUGUUAAGCAUAUCCCAGCCUGCCAAUUAGACUGUGUAUCUGCUAACUCCUCUUGACCGUAACUCAUAUUCCAGUGCAGGGCUAUAAGGGCAGUAAGGUUAUUUCUUAUUCCUUAGCUGUGGAGAUUCACUGUUACGCAGGUCAUAGAGGAAAAAAGCAGAAAAAUUGCUUGGUACAGAAAAAGAAAUGUCAUACCCCUGUUCAAGAACUAGAUUUUAUACCAGACUUUAUGUUGUGUCCUAAAUUGACUGAGCAUAUUUAUUAACACAGUUUCUGUGCAUGAAGUUGAAUUCCAGCAUGGACUACACUUGUUUAUUCCUGAAAUUCGCAUAUAAAACCUAUCAGCAUAUUUUCAGUUAUUUGCAUGCUCAACUGUGUAUUACUUAAUGAUAUUUUAAUGCAUUGCAACCCUUAAACAACAGUGUUAAAGGUGCAUGACUGAAGUCUGUGGUAAGUCUACCAUCUGGAAUUCUGAAUUCAUAGUGAAGAGUACACCUGGAGUGCUAAAGGACAACUUUCUCUCUGAGGUUAAAAUACUCUGUAACAGAGCAGUUUGGUAGUUUAGCACAUUCUAUGCCAAUGUUUCCUCAUGCUCCUUAAGUCUUGUCUAAGCCUGGGAACUGGGAACAUGCUUUACUAGUUAGCAACCACUGAUAUUCUCAAGACACAUAUUAAUUAUCUUACUUUCUAUAACUACUCUGAAGAACGUUUUCCAGCAAAGUUCGUUCAACAGCACUCCUCAUGAAGGAGGUGAUUCUGUCAUGGCAGCAAAUGGUUUUUCCCUUAAAAAAAAAAAAUAUUAAGCAGAUUCUAAAUUUCAGCUGAAUACGAAACUCCAGCAAAAAGUCCUUUUGUUUUCUUUUUUAAUGGCUAACCAUUAGUGAUUCUGAAAAUAGAAUGCAUUUCAAAAGUAGUUUAAGAGCUGCUUUCAUCAAUCUUUAUUAUUUAUUCGUUGACUUGGAUGACAGAUCUGAGCUACUUUAUAGUUGGAGGUGUGGCUGAUGGCUUAUGUGCCCUUCUUGACCUUGUCAAGGGCAAACAUAGUUUAAAGUUGUUUAUAAACUAUAAAUUUAAUGGUAAAGAGUGAUGUGAAAAUAAAUGCAGUGUUCUUCUGAAAUGAUUAAAAGAACAUUGUGUAAACAGGAUACCACAGUAAGGCAGUCUCUGAAGAGUGUGAUCUAUUCCUAAGACUAAUAUGAAUGUACAUGUAGUAGAAGCUGAUCAUUAGAAAAGACUUCUAUCACUAUGUUUGGUGAGAAUAGCAGUAACUAUGCAGGUAUUAUCAGCACAUAGCAAUGAAUCUACUAUGAGAUGUUCAUGCUUACUAUUUUAAAAAAAUGAAACAAGGGCGGGCACCAUCAUUAUUUCAUGGAAACCAUUCUCAGUAAGUGGAAGAGACUUUUCUCUUUAGUAAGAACAGGCUGUAAAGUCUAGGGCAUUCAAAUAGGAUGUCUGUGGUUGUUAGAUGUUGCCCAUUAAUUACGUUGAUUCCAAGAUCUGCCUUGUUUGGAUCUAGACUUCAGAUUGAGAUUUCUCCCCGUAUUUAUUUUAUAUUUUCCUGUAUGCUCUUGGCUGAUUUCUGGAUUAUUUAGGAUAGGAACAAUUCAACUUGACUCCCACUGAGUAGUGUCCAUACUCCUCUGAAUGAGUUCACAAAACAAAUUUCAAAGACAAAAUUAUAUUUGAUCAAAUUCAGAGAUUCUUAAAUUGUAUUAGAUGUCUGUGUUCUGGCCAUGCUUACCUCAAGCAUGAAGGGAUAAAAAUUCUAUUCAGGGUUUUUUGUGCUGCUUACUGUCCUGUGAGAACUGAUCUGAUCCUGUAGAGAUUAUUAUUAUUUUUUUUUAACUUGAAAAGCAAGAACACUUCUAAUUCCACAUAAACAAAACUUCUCCUGCAAAGUUUUCAUCCAGAGUGAACUGAGAUGGUGCUGGCAUUGGAAAACAAAUAAAUAAUUGGAUGCUGAGUGUAAUUUCAGCAUGAAAGGGACAUCCCUGAAACUUACUUAAGCCACCCACAUACACAGCUCCUCGUUUCCUGUGGGAGGUGAAGAGAUGCACUCUUAAGUUCUGCUGCUUCUCCUCUAGAUGGAUGGUGAAUUUGUAAACUACUACAGAUAAUGGGCAGAUCUUUGGCAUGUUGUAAUGAAAGCAUAUGUAAGGGAUUUUAAUUGUAUGCCUAAGACUUAACUGUUAGUUACAAGGGGGUGGGACAAGUAAAGGUGGCUAGAAAUGGAAACAUUUUCAAUCCCACAAGUGGUGCAAGUAAUUUUAAAUCUCCAUCACAAAUCAGGAUGCAAAGUGAAAAAUACAAAGGUUUCUGAGGAAAGAGAUUCUAUCAAAGCAUCACAUUUUGUUUAACUUCACAGUUCUGGUUGGGUUUUGUUUGGGUUUUAAUUUUUUUAGAAAGCACCCGUCACUGUUUCCUUCUACCUGUGCUGUCAGAUGAAAAGCGUUUUCCACUGUGGACAGUCAGGAAGCUAUAAACAAAAGUUGAAGCAAAGCACAUUGUCAAUCUCACAAGUUAAUUUGGAUUUAGCACAAUUAGAUCUUACCAGCUUUCCUUAUUAGCCCAUCAGAAUCCUAACUGCCUUUAGUAAAGGCAGUGGUAACAAUUAGAAAGGGCAACAUGAACAUUCUGUCUUUGGAGUUCAGUGCAGUUCCAUGUAAGGGGGUGUGGAAAGGUAGUAGAUGGAGGAAAUGUAUAUUAAAAAGUACAGAGUAAUAAGUUAUACUAUGCAAAUUUAUCUGUAGGAAAAUUGGAAAAUUUUUUCAGCUUCCUCUGUAUUAUUUGAAAAUUAAUGCUUUAGUGUAUGUGUAAAACUGAUUGUGCUCCAGGUCUUGGCUGUCUGCUACACAGAAUUUGAAAUCAAGCUUUUCCUGUAACUAGUAUACCCUUUAUUAUCUAGCUAGUGUGCAAGUUGAGUGUUUAGGUUAAGUGUUUAGUUCAAUUUAUGAGCUAGAAGUCAGGGUAGAACACCACAGGAAAUAAAAGGCCAGUCAUACAAAAUUUAAGUUUAAAGAGAAAUUUUCUGUUUCAGCUUAAUAUUUACAGCUACUUUCAGCCAAACCAGAACUUUAUGAUCAAAUACUGAAACCUUUUAUAAUAUAUGUUCAACUUCAGUGUAUAUAUCCAGACUAGAAUUUUGCAACUUGGUCAUGUUUUAGAGCCAAGUUAUGGUUCUGCUUUUCAUUCCAAAUACUAUCAUGGUCCAAAAGCAGUCCAUUGACUGUUACAGAUGUUACAUCCCAUUCAUUGUGAAUGAGGACAUGGGAAGUCUGUCCUUCAUUGAGCAGCAGCGGUGUAAUCUUUUCAAAUAUCUUAUCAGAUAUUAAAUUAGCUGAGGUCAUCAAGAUGAUAGGUACUGCACUUCUGAACUUUAAGGAGCAAGAAUGAACAUAAAAAGUGAAAAACCCAUAAGAGGAUGUAAUUGAUAUCCAUAUAGCUCAGCUGCUCCAAAACAUAUUUUUGCAAAUGCAUAAUCCAAGAACCACCCACACAGAAUUUGAUCUUAGCAGACUAAGCAGGAUUAGAUGAUAAUGAUUUUUCCUUUAGUAAUUUUUGUUGGCUAACAGUUGUGUAAAGAACAGUUCUUUCAUAUCCACUCUGGAAUUCCCAAAUAGUUCUGUGAGUGGAUAACACUGAUGAAUGUACAACACUUUUUUACUUUGGAAAGGUUGUAGAUCUUCUUAGAUAGCUGUUGAUGCAAUUCUCCCUUAUUUCAGUCCUGUUUAUUACAUGCUAAAUGUUGUUUUUGGUUAUAAGGGGAAUAGAUGUAUGCAGUACUCUGAGUAUGCUAUCAAGAUAUGCAGGUUCUAUUCUUUGUUUGCGUGUAAUGAUGAUAAAAUAAUUCUAUUAGGAACUAAAGUAACUCUGUUCUAACUCUGUUGAGAAAUUUUGGUGUGAAAUUGCAUAGUUUGAACGUCUUCCGUCACACUUUCAAUAAUAUUUUUUCAAUAAUAUUUUUGUCAGGCCCCAUCUUGGCAAAUAUGGAGAGUUUGGACUGGUUCCAAGAUGGAUUCUUUGUUUUGUGUCAUUGCUUUUGUUUAAAAAAUAAUCAGACAUGAUGCAUAGACAUUUUCCUGAAGAUAAAUGCGUCGCUUCAUUUGAUAACCUUCGAAUUACUAGUUGUCUGGCAGUAACUGAACUAAAGUGCAAUUCAGUGACAUUGUAGCCUUCAACAAAACACUUAAUUUUCCUAUUGAAGAUAGAAUAUCUCUCACCAUUCACUGCAAAUAGGAAAUUCAUACUUUUAUCUGAAAAACUGCAGUGACUAUAGUGAUUAAGGGUUAAAUUAUUACUGAAAAUCUGAGAGUACUUUAAACAACAUAUUUGUUAUUAAAUAAUGACUUGUUCCAUGUGUGCAUGGAUUGACAAAUGGGCUCAUAUCACGAGUUCAGUGGGCUGUGGCGGGAGCUCUAAAAUCCUCUCAAGCUACAUUUCCAAACAGUGGUGAAUUCAAAGAUGAGUAUAAAAUGUCCUGUUGAUUCUGUCCUACUCUUUUUAUUUUUUUUCCAGUCUUAAAUGUAUAUUCUGUUAGUUACUGGGCUACACAAUACUUGAAAGAAGAAACCUUUUAGUAUUGAUAGAAUCUUCACUCUGUUAAGCUUACUCAGAUACAUUCAGUUUCAUUCUGUUUUAACAAAUUCUACUAGAUUCUUAUCAUAUAGCUACUUGCAACCUUACUCCUUAUCAGAUAAUAAAGAUGCCAUAUUAUGGUGCAAUUCUAAGUAAAAUAAAAUAAAAUAAAGUAGAGCACAUUGGAAAAAUGUGCAAACAUCUUGAUGAUCUUUGUUUCAGAUAUGUGUAGAUGUGAUGUAGAUGUGACACAGAGGUAAAUGAAAAUCACCUAGCUGAAUUGAUACUUCUGAGACCACCCCAAAGCUUCAAAUAUUUUAGUAAUUUUGAAUAAUGUGUUAUUAAUUUUAUGAAUCAGUCUUGAGAAGUUAUUAUUGGCAUUCACAUUAUAAAUUUCUCAGACUUCUUGCAGUUGAACUACAAGUAGUGAUUGUAUUCCAGUCUUGAAUGUCACAGGCACCCAUCAAAAGUCAUCUCUUCUCCAGGCUGAGCAGAAUUCUAGCCUCUCCUCGUGGACUGAGUGCUCCAGCCCCAGCCAUUGCAGUGGUAAACACCAAACUUGCUCCAGUUCAUCUUUAUCUUUCCUGCACUGCUAGAACCAGAACUGAGUCCAGGAAUGUGGUUAAAUGAUGCUUAUUGGUUCCUGCGCCAGAACAAUUUCUCUAUCAGCCUGACAGGUACCAAAGUGGCCUGACCACCUGGGAUGUGAUAGCUGUGAGUGUCCAUAGCUGAACACGAGUUGUUUUUAUGACAGGUAAAAACUGAUGAUUCCUUUUCCACAAACAGCCUUAUGUUAGGUGUCCCAAUGUGGUAAAAAUUCCAGGAGCUCUCUGAUGUGAGUGAGGUCUGUCCAAAUGUUCUAGCAAACCCGUUUCUGGGGCAGGGUUACUGUAUUAGAUAUUUUAAAAAUCUGCUGAUUCUGCUUAUUUUGCAGGAGAUUUUUUUUUUUCUCCUUGAGCUUCUCAUUAAAAUUAUUUUCCCUUAAAAAUGAAGUUGUAGAAGAGGAUUAAGAUAUUCCCUCCAAGCAAACAUCUGAUAUUUUUUGACUAACGGCAAAAUUGUUAGUUUAAAAAAUACUGCUUAGAGUGUAAAAAUCAUGCUAAGUCCAGAAGGUAUUUUUAAAAUAUGGCAAAAUAGCCACAAUCAUAAUAAAAAUUAGUUGCUACCAUAUGUAAAAUACUUGUAUAACACUCACAGUAUGCGUGUCUGUGUAUUACUAUUGUUUCAGUCCCAGUGUAUGGAAACUUCUCCACUUUUGAUUCUCUUUGUGGAUAUUUAUAUGUGCAUGCUGAGACAGAGUAGGCUCCUUUGGAUACUGUGAGAAAGAAUAUCUUGACAGCUUCCAAAUCAACCUGGUAUGUGAGUAAAGUUAUUGAGAAUUCCUGUGGUCUAGGGACCAUACAAGCAAUUGAAAGACCAUGCUGAAACUGGAAUUACAGCAUAGGAAAAUUUCAAUAGAAAUGAAAUUAAAAUGAAAUUGUGUUAUUGUGUUAUUUCACUAGUGGAAAUAAAGAAGCUGAAAGGAUGGAGAGAUCUCAAUGAAUGACUCAUUCAUUCUGAGCUGGAUGUUGCAUAACAAAAACUCAGUCUAACAAAUAAACCAGUUUUGGUUGCUAAAGACAAAAUAGAUUUUAUGAAUAAGUAGAGAUAAUUAUUGCUAAUAAUAGCCAGUAGUACCAGUAUUUCUAAAUAGCAAACUAACAGUUCAGUCUGCUCAAUACUGAAACAGAAUCUAGACAUACAUUAAUGGAUUUUCAGAAAUACCUAUUUUUUUGUCAUCUAAGGAGAGCAAGAUGUAUGCAUAAUAGAAAAGGCAAAGGAAGAGACAAAGCUCCUUUUGUUUUUUUUUUUUAAUACUAAAUAUAAUAUCCAUAUUUCCUGUAGCAUGGGGUUUGAACAAUGUAGGACAAGUUUGUCUUUUGUCAGUCUUUGGGUAUGUUUUGAAUAUUCAAAUAUUUUUUUUUUUCCCACAUUUUAUUUGGUACAUCAAUUUCAUUGUUUCUAUUGAAUAUUUAAAAUGAUCUUCAAUUAAAUAUUCAAUAUUCAGUAAUGUUUGUAUAAGCUGUAUAGUACAUGCUUUUGUAUUCAAUAAUACUUAAAUAAUUUUGUGGCUUAUUUUAAGGAAAACAGCAUACCACUCAGUAGUGAAUACAAGGAUAACACUGUGUAGUGUUAAGAUUCAAUUUAGAAGUCAGGCUUCCUGAAAAUGAAAUAUCUUAGACAAUGAAAGAGUUCCAAAACUCUUUCAUCUUGUCCUUCAUAUAUAAAAUAUAAAGAUAAUAAUAAAAUAAUAAUCUAAGAAGUAGAAAAAAAUACCAAAAUAAAAAAAAAAAUUAAUGGGUUUGAAAAUGAUUCUGUAUUUAGCAGCCUUGGCAGGAUUUUCAGUAGGACAGUGAAAGGCUUCCCAUGGAACUGUAAAGUAAUCCUGGGAAACUUUCCAGUUUCAAAAGACUGUGUUGUCCUACUCUGUGCUUUAUAUCUCCUUUCAGACUUCAUUGGGUACCCCCACAUGAUAUCACAGCAAUGACUGCUGCAGGCUGGCCUCAGAAAGACUUUUACUAGUAUGUGCCAGAAUCUAAGGACUGUGCCUUCCCCCAUUACUGUAAUUGCAAUCCGUCAGUCUAAUUUCCCCGUGACAUCCAUGCCAUGCCUGGCAAAGCUCUUGAAACCUUCAAUCUGAUUGCUCUUUGCUUAUAUCUAACACUGAAAAUGAAGCCAUGUCUCUGGGUAACGUUUACAGCCCCGUGCAGUAGACACAAGGCUUGCAUUAGCAGUUCAAAGCCAUUGGAAAAUACUAGGAAGUUGUUAUUUUCUAGAGUUACUGUAUAUUCUUACAUUAUCCUCUUGUUCCAUAAACUUAUCCAAGUAAAAAAGUCAGUUUUGUAGUUGACAGGGUAGAAAGUUUAAUUUGGAAAGUCUGAUUUUUUUUUCUUUUUUUUUCUUUCUUUCUUUCUUUUUUUUUUUUUUUUUUUACACCAAGGAAAUCUGUGAGGAUGAGUUACAUUAAAUCAAAAAAGUUUUAAGCAUGUGAAACUUAGAAUCACUCCCAACUGCACUUUUACUGUGCACAAGCAUUGGAUAGUAGUAACUUUGUAAAAAUUUAUAUCUCUGUAAAGUCAGGUCACUUUCUUACAUUGCUUUACUAAAUAUGGCCUGUGGUGCAAAGCCUGGAAAGGGAGGAGCUUUCUUGCUUACCUUUUGGUGAACCUUGGGGAGCCUGCAACUCUGUUAAGAGAUCCCCAUUGACAGAAACUCUUUAUGCAUGAGAAAGCUUGCCUUCAUUUACUGGUGAAUAAGCAAAAAUGACAGUAUAGGUCAGACCCUGUUGAGUUUUGAUAUGUAACAGCUUAGCAUUUUCGUCAGAUGCUGUUAAAUUUUAAGUUUUCAGAUAAAAUGCAGUUGCUGCUGAGUAAUGUAAGAGCGCAAGAAUAGACCUAAACAUUCUAAGUGUCUAACGUAUCACUCCCCCCCAGCUAAUCCUUCUUUCUUUGUCCAAAGAAGUCCGUGCUGGUGUCAGAGCUUUUUUUUCUGUUUAGCCUGGAGCCCGGUGUUACAUGCACUUUUUUGAGCUUUCUAGGUGGGGCUUCGUAUUUCUGUUAUUUCAUUUAUUUUGGGACGAAACCCCUAAUUAAACAAGCAAGACCUGUUUCACUGCUCUGAAUAGUUGCAAAGGAGUUGUACUAGAAAGCUAAAAUGACUGAAAGGACAUACUUUUCACUAAUUGAGUGCAAUAAAACAAACUCUACAGCUAGAACUGCAGAAUCUCUAAAUCUGACAAAUGACAAAUGGUUGGUUCAGAUCCUGUGUUAUCAGGCAAAACCUGCCAGUAAAAUCAGGAGUGGUUUUGUCAAAGUAGAAGACAUUCAUGAUUGUAGCCAGUGUUCUAACAAUGGCAAAUCUGCACCGUACGUGCACUUCAUUUUUUAAAUAAAUAUUGACCAAGUCAAACAUGUCCAUGUGUAAAGAUUGGUUUAAAUCAGAUUUGGAAUAUGUCAGAAUAUAGGGUUUUUUGUUGGCCUGGUUCUUAUUAUUAUAGCUCCUGAGACACAGUUUAGAUUUUCAGAGACGGGAAUGGAGAAAAAAGAAAAUUAAUAUUAAGGAAGAUUAAUGGCAAAUGGUUAUACUAUUAGAGCAGUUAUAGAGUUAGAAUAUUGCCACUUGUAAAAACAUUUCAAAGUGGAAAACAUUUUACAUCAUUACAGAAAUAUAUUCAGUACAGCUUUGAAGAGUAUUGCUUCAAAAUAAUGUCAGUAGAAAUCAUCAAUAUGGCUGAUAGGACACAGAAAAGAAGGUAUUCAAGGUUAGCAGUGUCUAGAAGAGUUUUCCUAAAGGACAUAUCAUAUAUACCCUCAGAUUUCCAAAUAAUGUGACAGUGGUAUUUAUCACAUAGUUUAUGAUGUAAUUAACAAUACUGAAAUAUGUUUUAAUAAUAUAUGGAUACACAAACAAAAAGUUAAGCAAAAUUAUAAUAAGUGUUAAUUUAAUAACAGAAGUUAGGGAAUGGAUCUUUUGGAUUUACUUUCAGGGUCUCCCAUUUAUUGUAUGUUUUAAAGCAAAAUGUAAUCAGGAUAAAAUUAAGUUCAAGUAGGAGCAGGAUGCUGUUUGCUGUCUCCAGUAAAUGGUGCCUGUGGCGUUGAGAAGGUAGGUGGAAAGGACACUGUGGCUGCAGGAAUAUCCUUUUUAGCCUUCAGUACAAUGAAAAUUCUAGAAACAAAAUAUAUUUGAGAUAUCAUCAAACACCAUCCAAGUCUUUUGUUGUAGAAAGCACAUCGCUGUGUUUCUGUCUGGUCUUAUAUUUGCAUUUUAAAAGGAUCAUGGCAGAAUAAGAUAGAAGAGAGAUCUAAGCCUGUAAAAUAAGAUAGCAGAAGAAUAAAAUAAGGAGAUAAGCUUAAACAUUUCAAUAGGUGUAUUCUUAAUCAAGUAGCACCUCAAACAGACUAAACUGCCUGAAAGAGCCAUGAAGAUAGCAUUGGUAAUACCUGCAGCAUUAAUAGCAGUGAAAGACAAGGAGGCCUCUGUUGUGUUUUUUUCCUCCCGUUAAUAGGGAGGUAUUAAUACAGGAAAUUAACACAAGUGGAAAAAGACUUCUAGAACUAAGUAUUGGCUUUGUGGUUUUUUUUUCUUUUUUUUUUUUUUUUCCAGUCCAGUAUCUGCUCUCAUGCAGUAGUUAAUGUUUCAAGUGUAAAAAACCACAGUUCACUGCAACAUUUGCCUGGAAGUUGACUGAGUUUGUUUAAGUGUGGGAGAUAAGAUAGACUUGCUAUGGUUAUGUUUUUCCUCGUCAGUCCCUUGCCAAGAUUAAACUGUACAGCUGAGUCUAAAUGACUGUGUGUUUGCUGCCUAGAUUCUGAUCAGAAACACUUCAGUAGUUGUGCAGUGCGGGUAACCAUUGCCAUAGAGGCAAAGCUGGGGUGGUGGCUGCCAUUUGGUCCUGUAAUGUCAUUUGCAUGGGAUGGCUUCCAGCUGCAUCCAUCAGGGCAGCAUCUUAAGUAAGGCAAAAGGUCAUGGAGACUGUGAUGGGGAGGACUUUCAGCAGGGUGUGGCUGCAGGAGGAAAGGAUGAGGUAAACCUUUAGAGCAGAGUUGGUUAAAUAAUGCCAUGAAACUUCCAGUUCCUGACAAUGAUCAGAGAUUAAGCUGUGUGUGUAUGUGCAGGGUUGAAGGUUAACCAGUAACUGAAGCCUUCUCUGAUUGCCACAGGUUUACAUUUU